AAAGCGUGUGCAGGCGGCUUGUUGCGUCUAUAGUGAAAUCUCCCGGCUCAACUGGGAGGGUGUUAUGGAUACGGGCAAGCUUGAGGGCUGGAGAGGGAAGUAGAACUCCCGGUGGAACAGUGAAAUGUGUAGAGAUCGGGAAGAAUACCAGAGGUGAAGACGGCUUCCUGGCCAGUGCCUGACGCUCAGACACGAAAGCGUGGGGAGCAAACAGGAUUAGAUACCCCUGU
rnacentral:rRNA from 1 species